GAUGAACGCUGGCGGCGUGCCUAAUACAUGCAAGUCGAGCGAACAGACGAGGAGCUUGCUCCUCUGACGUUAGCGGCGGACGGGUGAGUAACACGUGGAUAACCUACCUAUAAGACUGGGAUAACUUCGGGAAACCGGAGCUAAUACCGGAUAAUAUAUGGAACCGCAUGGUUCAAUAGUGAAAGACGGUUUUGCUGUCACUUAUAGAUGGAUCCGCGCCGCAUUAGCUAGUUGGUAAGGUAACGGCUUACCAAGGCAACGAUGCGUAGCCGACCUGAGAGGGUGAUCGGCCACACUGGAACUGAGACACGGUCCAGACUCCUACGGGAGGCAGCAGUAGGGAAUCUUCCGCAAAGGGCGAAAGCCUGACGGAGCAACGCCGCGUGAGUGAUGAAGGUCUUCGGAUCGUAAAACUCUGUUAUUAGGGAAGAACAAAUGUGUAAGUAACUAUGCACGUCUUGACGGUACCUAAUCAGAAAGCCCCGGCUAACUACGUG
rnacentral:rRNA from 1 species